rnacentral:snoRNA from 1 species
CCUCUGCUGUGAUGAAACAUGAAACACUUGGCUGGCAUGUCAGACUUUAGAGAUUUUUUUGUCAAAAAAUCCAUUCGAAGAAAAUUUAGUUUCAGAUCAGAGA